AUUGAACGCUAGCGGGAGGCUUAACACAUGCAAGUCGAGGGGUACGGUAGCAAUACUGGAGACCGGCGCACGGGUGAGUAACGCGUAUGCAACCUGCCCUUUACAGGGGGAUAGCCCGUCGAAAGGCGGAUUAAUACCCCAUAAGAUAGUACCCUCGCAUGAGGGAGCUAAUAAAGCUUUGGCGGUAAAGGAUGGGCAUGCGUGACAUUAGCUAGUUGGUAGGGUAACGGCCUACCAAGGCUACGAUGUCUAGGGGUUCUGAGAGGAAGGUCCCCCACACUGGUACUGAGACACGGACCAGACUCCUACGGGAGGCAGCAGUGAGGAAUAUUGGUCAAUGGGCGCGAGCCUGAACCAGCCAUCCCGCGUGCAGGAAGACGGCCCUAUGGGUUGUAAACUGCUUUUGUGCAGGAAGAAUGUGCCCAUCGUGAUGGGUAGUGACGGUACUGCAUGAAUAAGCACCGGCUAACUCCGUGCCAGCAGCCGCGGUAAU
rnacentral:rRNA from 1 species